AAAGAUCGAAUAGGCGGAGAAGAAGUGCCAAACUCAACUCCGGGGAUUGAGACUCAAAGUAAAUAAUUGAUUUGAGUUUCUAUGACCCCUAAUCAUUUGAUUCUUGUUUGGAAUCUCAAAUUUUGAGUGGAUUCAAAUUUAAUUCUUUUUUCUUAACUUUUGUGGGUUAAGAAUUUAAUUCUUAAUUUUAAAUUUUGGUGAGAAUUAAUUUUGAAUUAAAAAUAAAUCUUGUUUUUUUUUAUCAAAAUUAUAUAAUUAGUUCUUUUGAGAAUCUUAUUUUUUUUCCUUUCUUUUAUUUUUUAUUUUAAUUUUAA
rnacentral:lncRNA from 1 species